GAUAAGUUUCGUUAGUUUACUGCAGUCACUUUCUCACCAAGUUACUGUAGUAUACUCGCGAAAGCGCACAUUCGCUAGUCCACUGUGGUGCAAAAUGGAAUAAAAUACUUAUUUGUAAAUUUGAAUUGCAUGAUAAUAUUGAAAAUAUUCGUUUUAAUGGCCUAUAACUUACACUUGAAUCAAUCCUAAUCUUAAAAACAUUUCUAUGAAUGAUAAAUUUGAAUUAAUUUCAUUCUUCAACACUGUGCCAAUUGCCAUGUGGGAGUCCACGUGGAUUACACGGGAUUACGUUUAUCCAUUUUCGAGGGGAAAUGGGGAGUCGUGCGGAGCAAAUUGUAAACAUGGUUCUGAAUGAUAAAAGAAAAGACUUUGAAAAAGACAGUAGAUAAGCAGUUCACCAGCUUCAGAUUCAUCAGUUGAUUAAUUAAUUAGAACAGCAUGUUCCAAUCCAAGUGACAACUUUGCUCCAUGAUGAUUAUUUGAAUUUCAAUAAAAUGAACUACAAAAUUAAAUCAGUGAAAGGAAGCAGCAUCAAAUUCCGAGAUAUUGUGUGGUAGAAGGGAAGAGCCAGACGUUGUGUAUACGAAAACUGAAUAUGAAGAGAACUUCAGUAAAAAUUUUCUACGAAAAAAAAGAGGCCGCCCUUCUACUGAAGAGCUCAUGAGAAUGUACCCAUCAAAGCUGAAAGUUUCUGCAGCGAAAAUUAAUGAUCUACAAAUGCUAUGUAAAAAUCUUGUUAUUUCUAAAGCAUACCACGCUUACUAUAAUAAUUUGCCAAACUCCAAUUCAGUUCGAGAUGCCCUCCCCUCCCCGAACCUGAUUUUGAAGAGUCAGAAAGUGAAAAUUGAUAUUCAGACCUAUAAACAAACGAAAUUUCUUCUUUUCUCUAUUGUAAUUAUAACAUUACGUU